ACAGGUGCUGCAUGGCUGUCGUCAGCUCGUGUUGUGAAAUGUUGGGUUAAGUCCCGCAACGAGCGCAACCCUUAUCCUUUGUUGCCAGCGAUUCGGUCGGGAACUCAAAGGAGACUGCCGGUGAUAAACCGGAGGAAGGUGGGGAUGACGUCAAGUCAUCAUGGCCCUUACGAGUAGGGCUACACACGUGCUACAAUGGCGCAUACAAAGAGAAGCGACCUCGCGAGAGCAAGCGGACCUCACAAAGUGCGUCGUAGUCCGGAUCGGAGUCUGCAACUCGACUCCGUGAAGUCGGAAUCGCUAGUAAUCGUGGAUCAG
rnacentral:rRNA from 1 species